GACACGUGGUAUCCUGUCUGAAUAUGGGGGGACCAUCCUCCAAGGCUAAAUACUCCUGACUGACCGAUAGUGAACCAGUACCGUGAGGGAAAGGCGAAAAGAACCCCGGCGAGGGGAGUGAAAAAGAACCUGAAACCGUGUACGUACAAGCAGUGGGAGCACGCUUAGGCGUGUGACUGCGUACCUUUUGUAUAAUGGGUCAGCGACUUAUAUUCUGUAGCAAGGUUAACCGAAUAGGGGAGCCGAAGGGAAACCGAGUCUUAACUGGGCGUUAAGUUGCAGGGUAUAGACCCGAAACCCGGUGAUCUAGCCAUGGGCAGGUUGAAGGUUGGGUAACACUAACUGGAGGACCGAACCGACUAAUGUUGAAAAAUUAGCGGAUGACUUGUGGCUGGGGGUGAAAGGCCAAUCAAACCGGGAGAUAGCUGGUUCUCCCCGAAAGCUAUUUAGGUAGCGCCUCGUGAAUUCAUCUCCGGGGGUAGAGCACUGUUUCGGCAAGGGGGUCAUCCCGACUUACCAACCCGAUGCAAACUGCGAAUACCGGAGAAUGUUAUCACGGGAGACACACGGCGGGUGCUAACGUCCGUCGUGAAGAGGGAAACAACCCAGACCGCCAGCUAAGGUCCCAAAGUCAUGGUUAAGUGGGAAACGAUGUGGGAAGGCCCAGACAGCCAGGAUGUUGGCUUAGAAGCAGCCAUCAUUUAAAGAAAGCGUAAUAGCUCACUGGUCGAGUCGGCCUGCGCGGAAGAUGUAACGGGGCUAAACCAUGCACCGAAGCUGCGGCAGCGACGCUUAUGCGUUGUUGGGUAGGGGAGCGUUCUGUAAGCCUGUGAAGGUGUGCUGUGAGGUAUGCUGGAGGUAUCAGAAGUGCGAAUGCUGACAUAAGUAACGAUAAAGCGGGUGAAAAGCCCGCUCGCCGGAAGACCAAGGGUUCCUGUCCAACGUUAAUCGGGGCAGGGUGAGUCGACCCCUAAGGCGAGGCCGAAAGGCGUAGUCGAUGGGAAACAGGUUAAUAUUCCUGUACUUGGUGUUACUGCGAAGGGGGGACGGAGAAGGCUAUGUUGGCCGGGCGACGGUUGUCCCGGUUUAAGCGUGUAGGCUGGUUUUCCAGGCAAAUCCGGAAAAUCAAGGCCGAGGCGUGAUGACGAGGCACUACGGUGCUGAAGCAACAAAUGCCCUGCUUCCAGGAAAAGCCUCUAAGCAUCAGGUAACAUCAAAUCGUACCCCAAACCGACACAGGUGGUCAGGUAGAGAAUACCAAGGCGCUUGAGAGAACUCGGGUGAAGGAACUAGGCAAAAUGGUGCCGUAACUUCGGGAGAAGGCACGCUGAUACGUAGGUGAAGCGACUUGCUCGUGGAGCUGAAAUCAGUCGAAGAUACCAGCUGGCUGCAACUGUUUAUUAAAAACACAGCACUGUGCAAACACGAAAGUGGACGUAUACGGUGUGACGCCUGCCCGGUGCCGGAAGGUUAAUUGAUGGGGUUAGCGCAAGCGAAGCUCUUGAUCGAAGCCCCGGUAAACGGCGGCCGUAACUAUAACGGUCCUAAGGUAGCGAAAUUCCUUGUCGGGUAAGUUCCGACCUGCACGAAUGGCGUAAUGAUGGCCAGGCUGUCUCCACCCGAGACUCAGUGAAAUUGAACUCGCUGUGAAGAUGCAGUGUACCCGCGGCAAGACGGAAAGACCCCGUGAACCUUUACUAUAGCUUGACACUGAACAUUGAGCCUUGAUGUGUAGGAUAGGUGGGAGGCUUUGAAGUGUGGACGCCAGUCUGCAUGGAGCCGACCUUGAAAUACCACCCUUUAAUGUUUGAUGUUCUAACGUGGACCCGUGAUCCGGGUUGCGGACAGUGUCUGGUGGGUAGUUUGACUGGGGCGGUCUCCUCCUAAAGAGUAACGGAGGAGCACGAAGGUUGGCUAAUCCUGGUCGGACAUCAGGAGGUUAGUGCAAUGGCAUAAGCCAGCUUGACUGCGAGCGUGACGGCGCGAGCAGGUGCGAAAGCAGGUCAUAGUGAUCCGGUGGUUCUGAAUGGAAGGGCCAUCGCUCAACGGAUAAAAGGUACUCCGGGGAUAACAGGCUGAUACCGCCCAAGAGUUCAUAUCGACGGCGGUGUUUGGCACCUCGAUGUCGGCUCAUCACAUCCUGGGGCUGAAGUAGGUCCCAAGGGUAUGGCUGUUCGCCAUUUAAAGUGGUACGCGAGCUGGGUUUAGAACGUCGUGAGACAGUUCGGUCCCUAUCUGCCGUGGGCGCUGGAGAACUGAGGGGGGCUGCUCCUAGUACGAGAGGACCGGAGUGGACGCAUCACUGGUGUUCGGGUUGUCAUGCCAAUGGCACUGCCCGGUAGCUAAAUGCGGAAGAGAUAAGUGCUGAAAGCAUCUAAGCACGAAACUUGCCCCGAGAUGAGUUCUCCCUGACCCUUUAAGGGUCCUGAAGGAACGUUGAAGACGACGACGUUGAUAGGCCGGGUGUGUAAGCGCAGCGAUGCGUUGAGCUAACCGGUACUAAUGAACCGUGAGGCUUAACCUUACAACGCCGAAG
rnacentral:rRNA from 1 species